CUACGGGAUGCUCCAGUGGGGAAUAUUGCACAAUGGGCGCAAGCCUGAUGCAGCCAUGCCGCGUGUAUGAAGAAGGCCUUCGGGUUGUAAAGUACUUUCAGCGGGGAGGAAGGGAGUAAAGUUAAUACCUUUGCUCAUUGACGUUACCCGCAGAAGAAGCACCGGCUAACUCCGUGCCAGCAGCCGCGGUAAUACGGAGGGUGCAAGCGUUCAUCGGAAUUACUGGGCGUAAAGCGCACGCAGGCGGUUUGUUAAGUCAGAUGUGAAAUCCCCGGGCUCAACCUGGGAACUGCAUCUGAUACUGGCAAGCUUGGGUCUCGUAGAGGGGGGUAGAAGUCCAGGUGUAGCGGUGAAAUGCGUAGAGAUCUGGAGGAAUACCGGUGGCGAAGGCGGCCCCCUGGACGAAGACUGACGCUCAGGUGCGAAAGCGUGGGGAGCAAACAGGAUUAGAUACCCGCGUAGUC
rnacentral:rRNA from 1 species